UACAGAGGUCUCAAGCGUUUGUUCGGAUUCAUUGGGCGUAAAGGGUGCGUAGGCGGCGUGGUAAGUCGGGUGUGAAAUCUCGGAGCUUAACUCCGAAACUGCAUUCGAUACUGCCGUGCUUGAGGACUGGAGAGGAGACUGGAAUUUACGGUGUAGCGGUGAAAUGCGUAGAUAUCGUAAGGAAGACCAGUGGCGAAGGCGGGUCUCUGGACAGUUCCUGACGCUGGAGACGCGAAAGCCAGGGGAGCGAACGGG
rnacentral:rRNA from 1 species